rnacentral:siRNA from 1 species
UCAUGAAGUCAGCUAGGACCUGAG